rnacentral:rRNA from 1 species
ACUGCUCAGUAACACGUGGAUAAUCUGCCCUAAGGUCAGGCAUAACUCCGGGAAACUGGUGAUAAUUCCUGAUAAGCUAUAGAUACUGGAAUGUUCUGUAGCUCAAAGCUCCGGCGCCUUAGGAUGAAUCUGCGGCCUAUCAGGUUGUAGUGGGUGUAGUGUACCUACUAGCCUACGACGGGUACGGGUUGUGAGAGCAAGAGCCCGGAGAUGGAUUCUGAGACAUGAAUCCAGGCCCUACGGGGCGCAGCAGGCGCGAAAACUUUACAAUGCGGGAAACCGCGAUAAGGGGAUACUGAGUGCCAGCAUAUUAUGUUGGCUGUCCACCUGUAUAAACAGCAGGUGUUAGCAAGGGCCGGGCAAGACCGGUGCCAGCCGCCGCGGUAACACCGGCGGCCCGAGUGGUGGCCACUAUUAUUGGGUCUAAAGGGUCCGUAGCCGGUUUGAUCAGUCUUCCGGGAAAUCUGACAGCUCAACUGUUAGGCUUCCGGGGGAUACUGUCAGACUUGGGACCGGGAGAGGUAAGAGGUACUACAGGGGUAGGAGUGAAAUCUUGUAAUCCUUGUGGGACCACCAGUGGCGAAGGCGUCUUACCAGAAC